rnacentral:rRNA from 1 species
AGCGAACGCUGGCGGCAGGCUUAACACAUGCAAGUCGAACGGGCAUCUUCGGAUGUCAGUGGCAGACGGGUGGGUAACACGUGGGAACGUACCCUUCGGUUCGGAAUAACUCAGGGAAACUUGAGCUCAUACCGGAUACGCCCUUUUGGGGAAAGGUUUACUGCCGGAGGAUCGGCCCGCGUCUCAUUAGCUUGUCGGUUGGGUAACGGCCUACCAAGGCGACGAUCAGUAGCUGGUCUGAGAGGAUGAUCAGCCACACUGGGACUGAGACACGGCCCAGACUCCUACGGGAGGGAGCAGUGGGGAAUAUUGGACAAUGGGCGCAAGCCUGAUCCAGCCAGGCCGGGUGAGUGAUGAAGGCCUUAGGGUUGAAAAGCUCUUUUGUCCGGGACGAUAAUGACGGUACCGGAAGAAUAAGCCCCGGCUAACUUCGUG